rfam:Amazona aestiva scaffold_561, whole genome shotgun sequence.
AUGGAGACAUGGCAUAAAGCCAGGAGACGCUAACUAAAUUCCCAACUUGAACUUAAUCUGCAUCUCAAUUU